CAGGCCGAGCUCCCUGUCCUUGGCGCGGAUCUCGUCACGUUGUUUGUCCACCACCUCCUUCAGCUUCUUCAUCACCUGCCGCUCCCGCUCUGACAUGCCUGGGUGGGCAAGUGAGAUGGGCAGCUUCUGGUGGCUGCUAACACUCCUCAGCUUGCGGCGGCACCACUCCAGUCUCUGCCUCCGUGGUCACGUGGACUUCUCCUCUUCUGUCAGUGCCAAAGCUCUCCCUGCCUCCACCUUACAAGGACACCUGUGACUAUAUUCAGGGCCCACCCAGGGCCCCACGCAUGCAGACGCCCGAGGCUGGCCGAUGGAACAGGGACGGUUCUUCCGCAAUCCCAAAGUGCAAUGUACUGCUGACAAGCCCAGAAAGGACACACAGCUUUACACCCUGGACCCUAUUUCAUUCUCAUUCCCGACCACUGGAAAGGGGUCUUAUUAUCAUUACUGUUGUUUAUGACAUCAGUCCCAUUUUACAGAUAUGAAAAACUGAGGUCUAGAGAGAUUUUUUUUUUUUUCAAAGUCUUACAGCCAAGAACUCAAACCCAGUUUUCUGACUCCAGAUCCCAUGUCUUCUCCGCGACCCCAAGCUGCCUUGCCACCAGGGCAUGAGAUGCAGAAGGCUCCCUUAAGGUCACCAGAAUGUGUCACCACAGGGCAGACUCUAGUCCCCACUUUCUCCCAGACAGGGCUACCUUCUGGGGAUGCCCUCACAUAUUUUUGCAUGUGUUCACACACAUGUACCCCUGCAAGAAUGUUCAUCUAUCAAGUUUUGUUUUUUGUUUUUUUGAGACAGAGUCUCACGUUGGUGCCCAGGCUAGAGUGCAGUGGUGCGAUCUCGGCUCACUGCAACCUCUGCCUUCUGGGUUCAAGCAAUUCUCCUGCCUCAGCCUCCUGAGUAGCUGGGACUACAGGCAUGUGCCAUCACACCUGGCUAAUUUUUGUAUUUGUAGGAGAGAGAGGGUUUCACCAUGUUGGCUAGGCUGGUCUUGAACUCCCAACCUCUGUGAUCUGCCUGACUUGGCCUCUCAAAGUGCUGGGAUUACAGGCGUGAGCCACUGCUCCCCGCCUGUCUGUUUAGAGCAGGGUCUCACUCUGUCACCCAGGCUGAAGUGCAGUAGCACGAUCACAGCUCACUGCAGCCUCAACCACCCGGGCUUGAGGCCAUCUCAGCCAUCUCAGCCCCCCCGGGCCUGGGACCACUGGCAUACACCACCACACCUGGCUAAUUUCAAAUUAAAAAAAAAUCUCACUGUGUUACUCAGGCUGGUCUCAAACUCCUGGCCUCAAGCAAUCUUCCCAUCUGGGUCCCACAAAGCUGUAGGAUUAUAGGUGUGGGACACUGUGCCUGGCCAUCAAGUUCUUGCUUUUCUUUUUUUUUUUUAGCCAUGGUCUCACUCUGUCACCCAGUCUGGAGUGCAGUGGCAGGAUCACAGCCCACUGCAACCUCUCACCUCCUAGGCAUAAGUGAUCCUCCCACCUCAGCCUCUGAGUAUCUGGAAUUACAAGGACGCACCACCACACCUGGCUCAUUUUCAAAUCUUUCUUUGUAGCGACAAGGUCUUGCCAUGUUGCCCAGGCUGAUCGCAUCUGGGCUCAAGCGAUCUUUCCACCUAGGCCUCCCAAAGGGCCCUGAUGACAGGCAUCAGCCACCACACCUGGCCAUCAAGGGUUUACUGAGCAGCUGCAGUGUACGUGACACCGAACUAGUCAUGAGGUUGGUGAAUAAAUGAAACCUGAUUCUGCUCUCA